rnacentral:lncRNA from 1 species
AUGAAGUGGUCAUACCUUUUGGUGUUUUCAUCACUAUUAAAAUACAUUGAACAUGCGGUGGAUAUGGUGCUGGCCUCUCAUUGGAGGACCUCAAGGAGCACUAAAUGGAAAUUGGACUGGAGAAAGUCUCUUGGUAGACCCCAUGAACAUGCGACUUUACAUAACGGAGUAACGAAAACCACCAAGCAAGAGGAUGUUUUACUCAAGCCACAAUGGAAGUAA